rnacentral:rRNA from 1 species
AGCGAACGCUGGCGGCAGGCCUAACACAUGCAAGUCGAACGAAGUCUUCGGACUUAGUGGCGGACGGGUGAGUAACACGUGGGAACGUGCCUUUAGGUUCGGAAUAACCCAGGGAAACUUGUGCUAAUACCGAAUGUGCCCUUCGGGGGAAAGAUUUAUCGCCUUUAGAGCGGCCCGCGUCUGGUUAGCUAGUUGGUGAGGUAAAGGCUCACCAAGGCUACGAUCAGUAGCUGGUCUGAGAGGAUGACCAGCCACAUUGGGACUGAGACACGGCCCAAACUCCUACGGGAGGCAGCAGUGGGGAAUCUUGCGCAAUGGGCGAAAGCCUGACGCAGCCAUGCCGCGUGGAUGAUGAAGGUCUUAGGAUUGUAAAAUCCUUUCACCGGUGAAGAUAAUGACUGUAGCCGGAGAAGAAGCCCCGGCUAACUUCGUGCCAGCCGCCGCAGUAAAAC